AGCAUGCAGAGGCCAACAGCAUCCCUCUCUCAGCACAGGGCUUCCAUAACAAAGCGUCACAAACCGAGUGGCUUAAACAACAAAGAUGUAUUGUUUCACAGUUCUGGAGGCUAGAAAACUGAAAUCAAGACUGAGGUCAGUUCAUCCCUGUUUUCAGCUAACCUCGACAUCCCC